GAAAUGCGAUAAGUAAUGUGAAUUGCAGAAUUCAGUGAAUCAUCGAAUCUUUGAACGCACCUUGCGCUCCUUGGUAUUCUUUGGAGCAUGCCUGUUUGAGUAUCAUGAAAUCUUCAAAGUAAAUCUUUUGUUAACUCAAUUGGUUUCUACUUUGGUAUUGGAGGUCUUUGCAGCUUCACACCUGCUCCUCUUUGUUCAUUAGCUGGAUCUCAGUGUUAUGCUUGGUUCCACUCGGCGUGAUAAGUUAUCUAUCGCUGAGGACACCGUAAAAGGUGGCCAAGGUAAAUGCAGAUGAACCGCUUCUAAUAGUCCAUUGACUUGGACAAUACUUUUAUGAUCUGAUCUCAAAUCAGGUAGGACUACCCGCUGAACUUAAGC
rnacentral:misc_RNA from 1 species